rnacentral:rRNA from 1 species
ACUAGUCCGUCCCUUCGGUUAGGUUAGUUACGUUACGGUUCGGUUCCUACCUACGUAGUUACCUUCCUUCCCUUCGNAGUAGUAGCGUAAGUCGACUAAUUUAGUGUUGUCGGGACGGUUAGUGCGUUACUUUGAAAAAAUUAGAGUGUUUAAAGCAAGCUAACGCUUGAAUACAUUAGCAUGGAAUAAUGAAAUAGGACGUUCGAUCCUAUUUUGUUGGUUUCUAGGAUUGACGUAAUGAUUAAUAGGGAUAGUUGGGGGCAUUAGUAUUCAAUUGUCAGAGGUGAAAUUCUUGGAUUUAUUGAAGACUAACUACUGCGAAAGCAUUUGCCAAGGAUGUUUUCAUUAAUCAAGAACGAAAGUUAGGGGAUCGAAGACGAUCAGAUACCGUCGUAGUCUUAACCAUAAACUAUGCCGACUAGGGAUCGGAUGAUGUUAAUUUUUAAUGACUC